rnacentral:rRNA from 1 species
GACGAACGCUGGCGGCGUGCUUAACACAUGCAAGUCGAACGGAAAGGCCCUGCUUUUGUGGGGUGCUCGAGUGGCGAACGGGUGAGUAACACGUGAGUAACCUGCCCUUGACUUUGGGAUAACUUCAGGAAACUGGGGCUAAUACCGGAUAGGAGCUCCUGCUGCAUGGUGGGGGUUGGAAAGUUUCGGCGGUUGGGGAUGGACUCGCGGCUUAUCAGCUUGUUGGUGGGGUAGUGGCUUACCAAGGCUUUGACGGGUAGCCGGCCUGAGAGGGUGACCGGCCACAUUGGGACUGAGAUACGGCCCAGACUCCUACGGGAGGCAGCAGUGGGGAAUAUUGCACAAUGGGCGGAGGCCUGAUGCAGAAACGCCGCGUGCGGGAUGACGGCCUUCGGGUGGUAAACCGCUUUCGCCUGUGACGAGGCGUGAGUGACGGUAAUGGGUAAAGAAGCACCGGCUAACUACGU